rnacentral:tRNA from 19 species
CGCGGGGUGGAGCAGCUCGGUAGCUCGCUGGGCUCAUAACCCAGAGGUCCAUGGUUCAAAUCCAUGCCCCGCUAC